AGUGAACGCUGGCGGCAGGCCUAAUACAUGCAAGUCGAACGGCAGCACAGCAGAGCUUGCUCUGUGGGUGGCGAGUGGCGGACGGGUGAGGAAUACGUGGGAAUCUGCCCAGUCGUGGGGGAUAACGUAGGGAAACUUACGCUAAUACCGCAUGCGCCCUUCGGGGGAAAGCCGGGGGACCUUCGGGCCUGGCGCGAUUGGAUGAGCCCACGUCGGAUUAGCUAGUUGGCGGGGUAAAGGCCCACCAAGGCGACGAUCCGUAGCUAGUCUGAGAGGAUGAUCAGCCACACUGGAACUGAGACACGGUCCAGACUCCUACGGGAGGCAGCAGUAGGGAAUAUUGGACAAUGGGCGCAAGCCUGAUCCAGCCAUGCCGCGUGAGUGAAGAAGGCCCUCGGGUUGUAAAGCUCUUUUGUCCGGAAGAAAAGCGCCGGGUUAAUACCCUGGUGUCCUGACGGUACCGGAAGAAUAAGCACCGGCUAACUUCGUGCCAGCAGCCGCGGUAAU
rnacentral:rRNA from 1 species